ACGCUCGACACCUACGGGGGCAGCAGUCGGGAAUAUUGCGCAAUGGAGGAAACUCUGACGCAGUGACGCCGCGUGCAGGAAGAAGGUUUUCGGAUUGUAAACUGCUUUAGACAGGGAAGAAAAAGACAGUACCUGUAGAAUAAGCUCCGGCUAACUACGUGCCUAGCAGCCGCGGUAAUCUGAGCGGGCUGGCAAGGC
rnacentral:rRNA from 1 species